UUUCACACUAUUUCCGCUCGUACUAGAGGUGGAGAUCCGAGUGAUUCGAAUCAUUUAAUUGUGUUCAUUCAGUGAUUCUUUCUGCAGGGUACUUAGUUGCGCCAGUAGAUGGCGACGAUUGUUGUUGUUUUUUUUAUUAUUUUAGUGAAUCCUUCACUCUGUGCACAAAAAAAUAGAUUUGUUCACUUAAAAGAUUUGUCCCAAAAAUUCGACUGUUUAUGAACGAAGUCCCACAGACAUGAAAGUUGCUUUACACACCCGCUGGAGUUUUAAAAUAUGGCACUUGGAAGAAGCAAGUGAGUCAAAUCAGACAGAUGACAGCAUGGACAGUGACGCCCUCGAAAACCAUGAACAAAACUAUGCAAGCGGAGUCAUUGUGAAUGCAGCCUGUCGCUGUGUGGGACAGUAAUUGAUAAAGUCUGGAGUGCAAGGUGAAGAGACAUCUCAGCAGGAAAGACCGUGACGAGAGCUGUUGAUCUGCCCCACGUGUCAUCUUACAUUACACGCCUUAUACAGCCACCGCCACUCCCCCUGUUUAGAGGUACUCUCGCAUGGACAUUAAUAUUAAUAUUGCCAAAACAAAACAGCAGUGAAUCCCUGCACACUGACAGAAGAAAGCAUGUGAGAACUGUGGGACUUUUCUGU